UUUUCGACCCGUAGUGGUUGAAUGCUUAUAUCACCCUCUCUGAAGGACCCCCUCCCCACCAGAAAACAGUAUUUCAGACAACAUUUCACGUGGUGGCGUGAGAGUUAAAGACUGGCCACUGAGUGACAAAAAUGGCCUUGACCGUGGCUGACAGAGCCAUUGGAGCCAUCAUCGGUGCAGCAGUGGCAGACGCCGCUGCCCAGCCAAUGCACUGGAUUUACAACCCCGACAGGCUGAAGGAAGUCCUCUCCGAUCUGGAGCCCUGUCCAGAGUUUCGGCCUCAGUCAGCCAAUCCUUUUUACUGCAGGGCAACAGGCGAGCAGACCUGCUAUGGGGACCAGGCGUACGUCCUGCUGGAGUCUCUGAGUCAGUGUGGAGGUACUUCUGUUGACCCAAAUCCAGAUCUGGAUGUGAAAGACUUAACUGAGCGCUUCUACAAGUUCUUUGGACCGGAGACUGUGUACGAUCUACCUGUUAAUGAUCCCUACAGGAAAAAAGAAGGGCCCAAAGCCGUUCUUCCGAUCGAUGGCCCGUGGAGGCACAGCAGCCUGAAGGCUUUCAUCAGAAACGUGGAUGCUGGCAAAGAAGAAACCGGCUGUGACGUGGACUGUCAGAUAGAUGGCAUCACCAAACUGGCUCCGGUGGUGGCCGCCUUCGCCGGCAAGCCGGAGAUGCUUGAGAAGGUGGAGAAGGCCGUCCGAGUCACGCAGAACAACGACAUGUGCGUGGCGGUGACUCUGGCUGCAGCAAGGGUUUUAGAGCAUUUCAUCCUGAACGGUCCUGAUCCGAAGGUGCUGGAUGUGGUUCUUGCUCAGCUGAAUGACCCAAAGAGACAAAACCCUCAGGAUCUGGACAAGGCAGUGGUUGCGCAUGUCCACCAGGUGAAGGACAGCCUAGCCCAGCAAUCCCAUCAGCUCAUACCUGCUGUGUUCACUAACACAUGAGCUCUGCCCGGUGCCUUCCAGGCGGCGCUCCAUGGAGUCCUGACGCUGAGCCGACUGGAUGAAGCCGUCAGAGACACGAUGCGGCGUGGAGGAUGCACCGCCAGCCGAGCCUCCUUUAUAGGAGCUUGUUUGGGAGCACAGAGCGGUCUUCAGGGAGUUCCGGAGUCGUGGAGGAAGAGGACGCUCAGAUUCCCUCUCCUGUUGGAGCUGGCCAAAAGUGUGGUCAACAAGAGUCGAAGCGUGUAGUUCAGCUCCCGCUGUGCCACAAACACAACAGGCCAUGUUGCGUUCGCUUACAGGGACAUGAUCCUCGCAGACUUUCCCGCUACAGAUGGGUUUUUCUUUGGCAGCUGCAGCUAAUGACAGCUUCAUUCUAAAGCCAUGUGCUGAAUGAAACUUGAAUCCUUUUGCUCUGUCAGAAGCUCCAUCAUGUAACCAAGUGAUAGUUUGUGCAGGCUUCUGGUUUUUGGACGUCUCUGCUCCCAUCGCGCUUCUGUUCUGUUGUCUGUAUCAGGGGCUGAUCGGAAAAUCCUUUUUUGUCAGCUCAGAGCAGGGCUCUCUGGUCUUAUUCCUCGGAGUGCUCUCUGUUAUCGUGAAGUGAAAGAGCAGCGACGGGCGGAUUUACUGCUGGAACAACCUCCACCUUCCUCAGAGGGCCCCGCUCUGCUCUGCAGUCUUUCUACAAGUGCUGAUGUGUUCAACGCCUCCACCCCGACAUGUAUGAAAGUUGGAUUUGUCCUCAUCUUAACUUAAAAACGCAGCUUGACAGACAGUGAAAAACUGUUUGGUUUUCAGUAUUUAUGCCUCUCUUGUUACCUUAACCAUAAGGAAAUGUUUUAAACCAACAGUUGCAGUGGUAAAGCUUUAAUUUCUGGUGAGCAAAAGUUUUAUUGAAUGCAGUACGGAGGCAGAGAUGGCAGCUGACGGUGUGUUGGAAGCCUGCAGAGGGGAAGUCUGCCUCUGCUUGACUUCCUCCCACACAGCAGGUAGCAGCCCCACUCUGGCAUAAUCGCAACCAGAUCUGAUGAUGGGUUGUGUUUUUCUAAAAAAUUGGCCUGACUUCCCUCCAAAGAUGCCUUUCUUACAAAAGGUUUGUAAAAAAAAAAAAAGAAAAAAAAAAGCACCAUAUUUAUUUAAUCUCUAUACGUUUUGUGCAAAAAGCCAUAAAAAUGUAGUAGUUUUUAAUUUCUCUGCCUUGGCUGACUGAUGUUCCAAACAUGAAAACUUUGCUUAGGUUCUCCACCAGAAACGAGAAGAAACUUAAUCCAAACAUUGCAUAUUGAUGUCAUUCUCCAAAACAACUCAUUAAGAAGUAGGUAAAAAAAGUCAAUUUUUAAACAAUUAAAGUAAUUUUCUAGUUUAAAAAAUGCCCUUUUCAAUGGUAACGUAACAAAAAUGCCGAUCAUGUGACGCCACGUGAAAAGCGUCUGUUCCAUGAUUUGUGCUGCAGUUAAUCAAAUCAAAUCCAAUCCAAUCAAACUUUAUUUAUAAAGUAUAAGGGUAACUCUUUACAAAAUUAAACAUCUUUAAAAAAAACGGACACAGUACCCUUUGACAUUACCAACGCAACAUAGUUUAAAAAUAUUAAAUAGAACUUGAAAUAUGAAUUUGAAAUUUAAGAAAGUUACUUUUUCCCCUCGUUUAUCAUUUAUUUUCUUUAUUUGUAUUUUUUAAAGAGGCAAAAUAAAGUCACUAUUGUGUUCUGCUUGUGUGGUGCAUUCAGUGUGUGUUUUAAAAUCCCACUCCAAUCAUCUUUUGAUCUAUUUUAAAAGGUUUCCCAAUGGGUUUUUAAUGAUGAUUUUCAUUGUAGUGGGUCUUUAAAUGAUGUGUGUACAUUAUGAAAAAUUUCAGUGUUAAUAAAGUUAUUACAAACACUU